AUUGAACGCUGGCGGCAGGCCUAACACAUGCAAGUCGAACGGUAGCACAGAGAGCUUGCUCUCGGGUGACGAGUGGCGGACGGGUGAGUAAUGUCUGGGAAACUGCCCGAUGGAGGGGGAUAACUACUGGAAACGGUAGCUAAUACCGCAUAACGUCGCAAGACCAAAGUGGGGGACCUUCGGGCCUCACACCAUCGGAUGUGCCCAGAUGGGAUUAGCUAGUAGGUGGGGUAAUGGCUCACCUAGGCGACGAUCCCUAGCUGGUCUGAGAGGAUGACCAGCCACACUGGCACUGAGACACGGUCCAGACUCCUACGGGAGGCAGCAGUGGGGAGUAUUGCACAAUGGGCGCAAGCCUGAUGCAGCCAUGCCGCGUGUAUGAAGAAGGCCUUCGGGUUGUAAAGUACUUUCAGCGGGGAGGAAGGCGGUGAAGUUAAUAACUUCACCGAUUGACGUUACCCGCAGAAGAAGCACCGGCUAACUCCGUGCCAGCCGCCGCCGUAA
rnacentral:rRNA from 1 species